AGCCUUGUAGUGUAGAAUACAUGUUGGAAUGCAAUUCCAGAGUCGUAGAUUAAUCUCUGCCGGGGCUU
rnacentral:tRNA from 1 species